AAUGCCGAAGAAAAGGCAGGUUCCGGAGGUACUAUGGCGACUAUUCCGCCACCGCGCGCGGACGCUCGCUUCCACAAUCGUAUCGCUCGUUCCUCCUCUUCCGCCGUCCUCGUGCUCGUGCUCGAGCACAGGUUCACAAUGCCUCAGUUGUAGUGGCUCCGAAGCGAUGUCGUUUUUGGUGAGAAAAGAGGAUCCUCAAGAGUACGUGAAGCUGUUGAACAAGUGCUUCGUUGUGGUCUCUGAAAACGCUCCUCCUCUCUCUCGUUUCCAAUCUCACUCUCGCUGGCCCCAGUCUCAGAUUGUGCAAAGGACCAUUGAAAUCAUGAUGCAUGAGCAAUUCAACUCUAUCAAUGUAAUUUGCAAGGCUUAUGAUAAGAUUAAUCGUGCAAGUCCCAUUGUAGAACUUCUAUCUUCUUCAGCUUGGUGUCUUCUUUCACAAAGGGUGGGGGAUGAUGUCAUGGUUUAUCUUUUAAAGUAUACAUCAAUAUUUUUGCCAGUUUCUUCUAAGAAGCACCAACAAGUAACAGGUCCUCCUAUAAGUGAUUUAUGCCUCAAGCAGUCAAAAAAGCGAACAUUGGAGUCUCAGCAUCAACAUACUUCACUUGAUAAAUGUGGAUCCAAAAAGAAGAGGGCUUUAGUUGACAAUGUUAACCCAGUGCUAGAGAUACAGAAAUGCAGUAAUUCUUCUAGUGUUGAUGAUCCAUCAACUUCAUUAGAUCAUGUUGGCUCCAAUGUUAGGAGUUCUUCAAGUCCAAGAUCAUUUAGUCGGCUUCAUGGAAACAAGCGUUCUCAAGCGAGUUCAUCAGAAGUAGCUAUACCAAUUUCUGGAACUGUUACCAAUAAUACUGAAGGGGAUUUAAAUGAGAAACUUCAAGAAAGCUCAAAUCACACAGCUGCAAAGUUUGGAAAGCGUUCAAGGCCAUUUAGUUGGCAGCGUCGCAGAAAUAGAAGGCGUUUAAAUUUUGAAGAAACCAGCUCUUUUGCAACAAUUCAUAUGGAUAAAGAUGGCGUAUCUGGGAGGCUCCAGCAUGAUGCAAAUUCUAGCUUAAAUAGUUCUGAAAAGAUGCCUUGUUUUUCAGUAUCACAAGCUCCCAAGCCCCUGGUAGUUGCCAAAGGGGCUCAUAUUAACAGGAAAUUCAUGUUUUAUAACAGGGAAUGUUCUUCAUCAGUUUUUCCAGCAAAGCAUAUACUAAAUUCUCUGAAGCCCAAUUUUUCUGGUGCAAAUUUUCUUAUUGGCGAUAUCUUUGGCUUAAAUGCAACUCAGGAAAUGCUGUGCAAAUCAGCAUGCCUGUAAGUGCAAAUUCGUAUACUGGCUUUUCUGAUUUGUACCGCUCACUCGUUAAGUUGCUUAAGAAGCUCAUACGCAAGGCACAGCAUUGCCAACGUCUGAGAUUAUUGGAUAAGCAUUGCGCUGUUCCAACAUUGGAUGCUACUGAAAAAUCUGGCACUAACUUUGAGGGGAAUGAAUCAGAGAAAAAUGUUCCUGAGAACUCUCAUGGAUCUAAUACUUCGUAUUAUGUGGAUAUUGAACCUCAGUUUGAAGCAAAUAAGUCUUAUUGCUUGAGAAGUCAGGUAGAGUCAUUUAUAUGGGCAGUUAUUAGGAGUGUAGUUCCCACAGAAUUACUAGGUUCCUGUCAUAACUGGAGAAUGUUUAGGAGGAAUAUUGCCAAGUUUAUUAAACUUCGAAGAUUUGAGAAGUUCUCAUUAAAGCAAUGCAUGCAUAAAUUAAAAGCAUCAAGUUUCCUGUUUCUAUCAACUGAACAAUUUUCCUGUUGCUUGAGUAAUCAAGUGCUAAAAUGUACAACGGGGGAGAGUAUAGACAUGCAUAAGGGAUCCAGAAUAUUGGACAACGCCACACAUGUUUUGAGACAUAAACUUCUGGAGAGCUGGAUCUUUUGGCUCUUUUCAUCACUAGUGGUGCCACUGGUGCAAGCAAACUUCUAUGUCACUGAAAUUGAGCAUGGGAAUCAAGAUCUAUAUUAUUAUAGGAAAUCAGUUUGGGAGAAGUUGAUAAAUAAGUCCGUCACUUGCUUGAAAGAUCAGGGCUAUAAUGACUUGGAUGCUGCGACUGUUAGACAUAUUAUAAAAAAAAGAUUAUUUGGUUUCUCGAAGCUAAGAUUUCGUCCAAAAGAAGAUGGAAUGAGGAUGCUGUCAAAUCUAAAAGCAUCAUCAAGAAUGCCAUUACAAAAGUCCUCUUUGGAAGAUAAAUCUUGUGGAAUGCAUGGAAAAGGAAAAUUUUGUUCCAAGAAAGUUGAAUUUAAUUAUUUCAAGUCUGUAAAUCUUGUUCUUCGUGAUACACAUGCUGUUUUAAAAGGUAUACAGUUGGAAGAACCUGAGAAGCUGGGAGCAUCAGUUUUUGAUUACAAUGAUGUCUACAGAAAGUUAUGUCCGUUUCUAAUUGGUCUGAAAAAUAGGUUGGUAACCGUGCCUGGUGCAUUUGUUGUUGUUUCUGAUGUGCUGAAAGCAUUUGAUUCUAUUGAUCAGGAUAAGCUUCUUAGUGUAUUGAAAGAUGUCAUACAGAAAGAUGAAUAUCUUCUUAAACAGUCCCAUCAAGUAGUCUGCACAGAUAAAUCUUUGUGGGUUCAUAAGAACCUUGUAUUGAUGGAUCAAAAUAUGAGCACUGUGAAAGUCACAUCCUCUAUUCCUUUUUGUUCACUGCAUACUGUCUUCGUUAACCAGGAGUGGAGCAGGCAUGUGAGAAAAGAAGAGUUAUUUUUCAAUUUAAAGGAACAUGUUAAGUACAAUGUACUGCAAUUAGAUAAGAAGUUUUUCGUUCUAGGUGUAGGUAUUCCUCAAGGAAGUAUUGUGUCAUCUCUGCUUUGCUCAUUUUACUAUGGACAUCUGGAAAGAAAUUUGAUCAUUCCGUAUCUUGAGAAGGCUGGUGAAGCUGCUGCUAAAGAUAUAUCUAGAAGACAUAUUUCUAAUGAUGUUUCUGCAGAGGAAAGUAGCGGGGAUAGAUAUAUACUUCUUAGAUUCGUUGAUGACUUCCUUCUCAUUUCAACCUCAAAGAAGCUGGCUGCUAGCUUCUUUUCCAGGUUGCGAAGAGGAUUUCAUGCGUACAACUGCUACAUGAAUGAUGACAAAUUUUCUAUCAAUUUUGAUAUUGGAGACUUAUCAGGGAUUCCAUCAAGCAGGGUUUAUGUGGGUGAAGAUGGUAUUUCAUUUAUUCGAUGGAGUGGAUUGCUUAUCAAUUGUUUCACUUUAGAAGUUCAGGCAGACUACUCAAAGUAUCUGAAUAACCAUUUAAGUUCGACUCUUACUGUCAGCUGGCAAGGUAAACCAGGUCACCAUUUGAAGACAAAGCUAUGUGGCUUUAUGAGACCUAAAUGCCAUCCUAUAUUCUUCUGUUCAAAUAUUAAUUCUGCAGAUGUUGUCAGAUUAAAUAUAUAUCAGGCUUUUCUGGUAUGUGCAAUGAAAUUUCAUUGCUAUGUUUGUGACUUAUCGUACAUAUGCAAACUUCGCAAGGGAUUCUAUCUAAAAAUGAUUCAAAAAUCUGUGAGGUAUAUGUACAAGCUCAUAAAGAAACGGAUACGUUCUGCAUACUGCUAUUCUGAUAUCCAGCCUAUACUUCAGUUGGAGGAAGAAGAAGUUGGAUGGCUUGGAUUAUAUGCGUAUAUCCAGGUACUGAAGAGAAAAGAAUCACGGCAUAAACAGUUGCUAUCUUCAUUAAGGUGUGAGUUGGCACAUAAAAUACAUACAAGUGAGCCACUGCCUUCUCAACUAAAGUAUGCAGUUGAUGCCUCACAUUCGUCCUUAAUUUGGAAAAUUAAGUAUUAAAUUCUUGAAGGUCUCACCUAACUAGAACAUGGCAAGUGAAUCUAAGACACAUCUGGUGAGGAGCAAAUUUUUGUACAGACAGAUUGGCCAAACAGGGAGCUUCUCAAAGGGAUAGAGAGAUCUUUUAUGAUACAUGCCCUACAUAUUUGCUAACCUGUCUUUUUUUGGACUUGAUGGGAUUCGACACAGCCCGAGUAUGUCGCUAAUGAUGAUGCUGUUUUGUAAUUUACCUGUGUUUUGUGGUCUGUAAUAUACUAGUCUGUAUAUGGUAGUAGUAUGGUUGUAAGGCUGUCAUCCCUUUCUGCUGUUUGUGAUGGUUUGCUCUGUAUAUAAGUGAUGGUUUUAUUUAUAUUUCCCUUUUGUGCAAAAAGAAAAAAAGAAAAAAAAAAGGACCAAUUUAGGGGGUGGAAGAAGAAUAAAUGGAGCAUGGUAUCUCCACAUGUUAUCUAUAUACAUUAUUUAUUUUUACCUUGCUUUAGGAAAA